UAAAAUGCUACCAUUUUUGAAAUUUUCCUGCAAUCAUCCUCAAAUAUUCGAGAUUCUAAAUUGUUAAAAUUUUCUCCCCAAGACAAAUAUUAGCGACUAAGAGGGGUUUACAGUUUAACAUAGAAAUAUGUAGAGAAACUCUUUGAAUAUCUUCUCCUCAAGAACAGCGAUGCUAAAAUUUGUGGGACUACUAUGCAAAUAUUCUAAGAUAGUGUAUAUUCUAAAUUGAAAAAGCUGUCACCACACCGAAAUUAACACUAGUGCCCAUAUAUGGGUUAAGAGUUCAAAAUUCAAAUAUAUAGGGAAACGGUUUGAAUUCAAUUUGUGAUAUAACUAUUCAAGCAUUCUAAAAUAGAGUUCGAAAAGAUUCUAAAUUGUUCAUACUGUGACGUGGACCAUAUUUGAAAUAAGCUGUCGAGCGUCCAUGUGUUACCCUGGUACAUGUAUCAUAUUUGUUUAUAAAUUAAUAAUUAUUUAAUAUUUAAACAUAGUAUGUACAAUAUGCAUGUUUAUAUGUAUUGUGACAUAAUAUUAAAUAACUGUAUCUAUC
rnacentral:sRNA from 1 species